CCUACGGGAGGCAGCAGUGAGGAAUAUUGGUCAAUGGGCGGGAGCCUGAACCAGCCAAGUCGCGUGAAGGAAGAAGGUACUUAGUAUUGUAAACUUCUUUUGUCGGGGAAUAAAGGCGGAGACGCGUCUUCGGAUGAGUGUACCCGAUGAAAAAGCAUCGGCUAAUUCCGUGCCAGCAGCCGCGGUAAUACGGAGGAUGCGAGCGUUAUCCGGAUUUAUUGGGUUUAAAGGGUGCGCAGGCGGGAGAUUAAGUCAGCGGUAAAAUGUCGGGGCUCAACCCCGGCCGGCCGUGGAAACUGGUUUUCUAGAGUGGGAGGGAAGUAUGCGGAAUUCGUGGUGUAGCGGUGAAAUGCAUAGAUAUCACGAAGAACUCCGAUUGCGAAGGCAGCAUACGGGCGCGAUACUGACGCUGAGGCUCGAAGGCGUGGGGAUUGAACAGGAUUAGAUACCCCAGUAGUC
rnacentral:rRNA from 1 species